rnacentral:rRNA from 1 species
UACGUAGGUGGCAAGCGUUGUCCGGAUUUACUGGGCGUAAAGAGCGCGCAGGCGGUCGUUCAAGUCGCGUGUGAAAGCCCCCGGCUCAACUGGGGAGGGUCACGCGAUACUGAUCGACUCGAAGGCAGGAGAGGGUAGUGGAAUUCCCGGUGUAGUGGUGAAAUGCGUAGAUAUCGGGAGGAACACCGGUGGCGAAGGCGGCGACCUGGGACGAUACUGACACUGAGGCGCGACAGCGUGGGGAGCAAACAGG